AACAAAAUCCAUACAUGAUGUCUACGAGAGUGAACUUGGUACCCUUCUCCUUGUCGGUGGCGACACGACCCUUUGCCUUGCGAUCCUUGUCCAAUUUCAGCUUGGUUACAGCCACCUUCUCCAAUAUAUCCUCUGGUACCAUAUCCAUGAACCAACAUCGCAAAAUUGAACAAACCAAUCAACAAACCCAGACUUGAGAGAAAAAACACAGAUCUGAAAAUCGGGUUGGGGUUAUGGUGCGUGAUUGGUAUAGAGUCGGAGCCGCAAACAGAGAUGACGAGUACGCUGGUCUCCAUAGUCCUCUCGUGGUGCGUGGCCUCGACGAUGCAGCCGGGUCACCAAGGGCUCGCCGUGGAAGCCAAAGGAGGAAACAGUGUCUGCAUCUCAGACAUGAAGAGAGGAAAAUGUCAAAAUGUCAACAUGGGUGUUCCUUGUUGUCGUAGGAGUUGGCAACGCCCACGGCCGACAGGUUAGGAAGUCCAAACAAAAUAAGUUUUAGCAGAAACAUUUUUCUCCAGUGUUGUGUUGGGCACAAAAGCUGUGUUCUGCUCUAGAAGAGAACCUGUGCUAAAAUGCGCGUGCACAUAGACGUCAUCACUCAUCAUCAGCUUCUGUUUUCUCAAAUUUUCAGCCCCAUGGACUCUCAUAAUUUUCUGAACAAAGGAGAAAAGAAAAAGGCAGUGAGAAACAGCCUUAGCUUUUUGGUUUUAUAAUCACUUCCUUCAUCACUGACAAAAGGUGGAAAUUUUGUUCCUUUUGCCUCGAUUUCUCAUUGACAAUUGUUCCCCUUGAAUUUCAAUUGCACUUCAGGUUAUUUUCAGAAAACUAUUCUUACUCAAAUUUUCUUUUUUAAGUCAA